AGCGUACACGGUGGAUGCCCUGGCAGUCAGAGGCGAUGAAGGACGUGCUAAUCUGCGAAAAGCGCCGGCGAGGUGAUAUGAACCUUUGACCCGGCGAUGUCCGAAUGGGGAAACCCAGUGCAAUCCGUUGCACUAUCGUUAACUGAAUACAUAGGUUAACGAGGCGAACCGGGGGAACUGAAACAUCUAAGUACCCCGAGGAAAAGAAAUCAACCGAGAUUCCCCCAGUAGCGGCGAGCGAACGGGGAGCAGCCCGGAGUCUGAAUCAGCUUGUGUGUUAGUGGAACGGUCUGGAAAGUCCGACGGUACAGGGUGAUAGUCCCGUACACGAAAGCACACUUGCUGUGAACUCGAAGAGUAGGGCGGGACACGUGGUAUCCUGUCUGAAUAUGGGGGGACCAUCCUCCAAGGCUAAAUACUCCUGACUGACCGAUAGUGAACCAGUACCGUGAGGGAAAGGCGAAAAGAACCCCGGCGAGGGGAGUGAAAAAGAACCUGAAACCGUGUACGUACAAGCAGUGGGAGCCUCUUUAUGGGGUGACUGCGUACCUUUUGUAUAAUGGGUCAGCGACUUAUAUUCUGUAGCAAGGUUAACCGUAUAGGGGAGCCGAAGGGAAACCGAGUCUUAACUGGGCGUUAAGUUGCAGGGUAUAGACCCGAAACCCGGUGAUCUAGCCAUGGGCAGGUUGAAGGUUGGGUAACACUAACUGGAGGACCGAACCGACUAAUGUUGAAAAAUUAGCGGAUGACCUGUGGCUGGGGGUGAAAGGCCAAUCAAACCGGGAGAUAGCUGGUUCUCCCCGAAAGCUAUUUAGGUAGCGCCUCGUGAACUCAUCUUCGGGGGUAGAGCACUGUUUCGGCUAGGGGGCCAUCCCGGCUUACCAACCCGAUGCAAACUACGAAUACCGAAGAAUGUUAUCACGGGAGACACACGGCGGGUGCUAACGUCCGUCGUGAAGAGGGAAACAACCCAGACCGCCAGCUAAGGUCCCAAAGUCAUGGUUAAGUGGGAAACGAUGUGGGAAGGCACAGACAGCCAGGAUGUUGGCUUAGAAGCAGCCAUCAUUUAAAGAAAGCGUAAUAGCUCACUGGUCGAGUCGGCCUGCGCGGAAGAUGUAACGGGGCUAAACCAUGCACCGAAGCUGCGGCAGCGACNGAAGGUGUCCUGUGAGGGGUGCUGGAGGUAUCAGAAGUGCGAAUGCUGACAUAAGUAACGAUAAAGCGGGUGAAAAGCCCGCUCGCCGGAAGACCAAGGGUUCCUGUCCAACGUUAAUCGGGGCAGGGUGAGUCGACCCCUAAGGCGAGGCCGAAAGGCGUAGUCGAUGGGAAACAGGUUAAUAUUCCUGUACUUGGUGUUACUGCGAAGGGGGGACGGAGAAGGCUAUGUCAGCCGGGCGACGGUUGUCCCGGUUUAAGCAUGUAGGCGGAGGUUCCAGGUAAAUCCGGUACCUUAUUAACGCUGAGGUGUGAUGACGAGGCACUACGGUGCUGAAGUGAUAAAUGCCCUGCUUCCAGGAAAAGCCUCUAAGCAUCAGGUAACACGAAAUCGUACCCCAAACCGACACAGGUGGUCAGGUAGAGAAUACCAAGGCGCUUGAGAGAACUCGGGUGAAGGAACUAGGCAAAAUGGUGCCGUAACUUCGGGAGAAGGCACGCUGAUAUGUAGGUGAAGUCCCUGCGGACGGAGCUGAAAUCAGUCGAAGAUACCAGCUGGCUGCAACUGUUUAUUAAAAACACAGCACUGUGCAAACACGAAAGUGGACGUAUACGGUGUGACGCCUGCCCGGUGCCGGAAGGUUAAUUGAUGGGGUUAGCGGCAACGCGAAGCUCUUGAUCGAAGCCCCGGUAAACGGCGGCCGUAACUAUAACGGUCCUAAGGUAGCGAAAUUCCUUGUCGGGUAAGUUCCGACCUGCACGAAUGGCGUAAUGAUGGCCAGGCUGUCUCCACCCGAGACUCAGUGAAAUUGAACUCGCUGUGAAGAUGCAGUGUACCCGCGGCAAGACGGAAAGACCCCGUGAACCUUUACUAUAGCUUGACACUGAACACUGGUCCUUGAUGUGUAGGAUAGGUGGGAGGCUUUGAAGCGUGGACGCCAGUCUGCGUGGAGCCAACCUUGAAAUACCACCCUUUAAUGGCUGGUGUUCUAACGUAGACCCGUAAUCCGGGUUGCGGACAGUGUCUGGUGGGUAGUUUGACUGGGGCGGUCUCCUCCCAAAGAGUAACGGAGGAGCACGAAGGUUGGCUAAUCCUGGUCGGACAUCAGGAGGUUAGUGCAAUGGCAUAAGCCAGCUUGACUGCGAGCGUGACGGCGCGAGCAGGUGCGAAAGCAGGUCAUAGUGAUCCGGUGGUUCUGAAUGGAAGGGCCAUCGCUCAACGGAUAAAAGGUACUCCGGGGAUAACAGGCUGAUACCGCCCAAGAGUUCAUAUCGACGGCGGUGUUUGGCACCUCGAUGUCGGCUCAUCACAUCCUGGGGCUGAAGUAGGUCCCAAGGGUAUGGCUGUUCGCCAUUUAAAGUGGUACGCGAGCUGGGUUUAGAACGUCGUGAGACAGUUCGGUCCCUAUCUGCCGUGGGCGCUGGAGAAUUGAGGGGGGCUGCUCCUAGUACGAGAGGACCGGAGUGGACGCAUCACUGGUGUUCGGGUUGUCAUGCCAAUGGCACUGCCCGGUAGCUAAAUGCGGAA
rnacentral:rRNA from 1 species